CUUAAUCUUAUGCAAUCAUGUCAUUUGUUUGUUGAAUGCCAUGAGUAAGAAAAUGCCCUCCUAUCAUAGGAUUACAAAAUUCGAGGAGCUCGUGGCAUUGGGAAGUAGGUUGCUUGUUGGGUUUCACCAAGAGCUAGACAGCCCUUUACCACAUUCUAAACUGGAGGAAGGUGGGAAGUUGUACAUUUGAGGUUAAUCUUUCUCAAGGGCUGGCAGUUGAACUUUUGAAUGAUCAUCGAAUACAUCUAUUGCUUGGAAUACCUUCAUUGUCUUUGAUAGUUCCAAGGUUGACUCACCAUAUUGGACCCUAUAAGGCAAACAAGCUAGAGUUAUGUAUCAUCAAGAGGAGAAAUUUGUGAGACUUGAGAACACGUUGAAUUAUGGUCUUGAAUGAGUGUGGGCUAUUGGAUAUAUGAAAGGUUCGCGUUGGGUUGUAAUUGGAUAUGAUGACAGAACCAUUAUGAUAAAAAUUGGUCGAGAAGAACCAGUUGCUAGUAUGGACAAUAGUGGCAAGAUCAUAUGGGCUAAGCAUAAUGAAAUUCAAACUGUGAACAUUAAGACUGUGGGGGCAGAUUUUGAGGUUACAGAUGGAGAACGAUUGCCUUUGGCUGUGAAGGAGUUGGGAAGCUGUGAUCUUUACCCUCAGGUAAUAGGUAUAGACUUGACUUUAUUUUCAGAGAUGCACAAUUAGAAGAUGAUUUGAAGUAGUGGAUGAAAGAAGAUUCUCAAGGAUAAAUAGUAUUGAAAGACAUGUUAUUUUCUCCAUCAACGCAUGGCAGAGAUGACAGAUUUCCUGAGAAAGGUUCAUAUGUAUGUAGAUUCUCAGGAAAAACUUACUCAUUCUCAGAUUGCAUUGUGGAAUAUGCAUCCAUUAUUCAAAGAAAGGGUGACAUUCCAAGCAUUCACACUCUCCUUGCUAGCUAAAUUGGCUGACAAGCUAAAGAAGUCAGCGGAGGAUGAAAUUCAUUUUCUCAAGGCAAGGGUUCUAGAACUUGAAAGUGAUCUUGUGUCGAAGUCCAUAGAAGUUACAUCUGCAGUUUCAACGAAAGAAGAGGCUCUAUCUUCUGCAUUUGCUGAAAUUGACCGUCUGAAGGAAGAAAAUUCUGUAAAAAUGUGAGUAUUAUUGAAUGCAUAUGGAGGGUGUUUACUGUGUUGGAGUGUAUUUGUUUCUUGCACAUGAGGGCACACCUUAGUUGUAAUUCUUAUGAUAAGAUAAGCACAGUGAAGUAUUGUUUAUUUAGAAAUGUGAAUGUAGGAUGCAUUGUAUGAUUUGAUUGCUAUUUAUAAUAAAUGCAUCAUUUUUUUUCUAAUUGCAUUUUAUGUACUAUUUCUAUCAGCAUUAAGCUUAGAUGAG